rnacentral:rRNA from 1 species
UACGUAGGGUGCGAGCGUUGUCCGGAAUUACUGGGCGUAAAGAGCUCGUAGGUGGUUUGUCGCGUUGUCCGUGAAAACUCACAACUCAAUUGUGGGCGUGCGGGCGAUACGGGCAGACUGGAGUACUGCAGGGGAGACUGGAAUUCCUGGUGUAGCGGUGGAAUGCACAGAUAUCAGGAGGAACACCGGUGGCGAAGGCGGGUCUCUGGGCAGUAACUGACGCUGAGGCACGAAAGCGUGGGUAGCAAACAGG